AUUGAAAGUUUUAAUUGAGAAGUUAUAUUUUGAGUUUGAGAGCAUGUUGUUCUUAUUUUUAGUUUAUUUUAGGUUUUGUUUUGAGUUUUAAUUUUUGAGAGUUUAUUUGGGUAGAAAUUUAUAUUUAUUCUGCAAUUUUAAUUUAUGUUCUGCAAUACAUUAAAUCCUCUUUCAUGCAAUCUAUAUUCCAGUCUGCAAUUUUUCUAGCACUGUUUUCAUCCAUUUUUAUGCCAAAGCUUUUCUUUGAUUAGUUAAAUAUAUAAAUGCUCUUUGAAUCUAAGUAUAUGUCUUCUAGUUAAUUUCAAUUAAAAAAUAUUCUCCGGUAGACUAGAGAAUCUAUCAACAUCCCCGAAGUAAUGUUUUUCUUUUGUUAUUCAAAAAUCGAUUUUAAAUCCGAGUAAACAUUUUUUUUAUUUUUAAGCAACUCCAAUCGCCUCCCUGUGGAUCGACCUCUUACAACCGCUAUUCUUCGAGUAGGAAAGAUAAGAGUAAAAUUAAAUUAAACUUUGUUUGUCGGUUCUAACAAUGAUCUAUUUAGCAUAUUUUUAGGUAAACAGGAAUCGGAUAACAAAAUUUUAGCGCCGUUACCGGGGAGGCAAAUCGAGAAGCAAGAACGAUCAUGAAGAUCAAAUCGAAUUUUGGAUGCCCGAAGUGAACGCACUCCGGUAGUAAGUUUUUAUUUUUAUUUUUAUUAAUUUUUCUUAUUUUGAUAAUUUCUAGUUAAUAAUUUUGUAGUUAUUAAAUUCU
rnacentral:lncRNA from 1 species